CGGGAAGAGUUUAUGAGUACUUGGGGCGGUAGCAGCUGUCAUACCACUUACAGGAAAAGGGAAGGCCCUUGAUCUGGGGCCAGUUUGGACUGCUUGGAGCAAUUUCCUAACUUGACUUUGCAUCAUAUUGAUUUUUAUGCUUGCUUGUUGGUGCUGUAUGUAAGCUGAAUUCUGAGGAAGAGGAGCCAGCCAGCGAGAGAAGGAAUGGCAAGAGGCAAGAAGAAAGAUAUGCUAUAAUUGGGUGACUUACAGUAACAGGGUCAGGGGUCUCCACGUGUGCUUCCUGUUGCUGUACAUACAAGUCCGGUGAUAUUUUUGUCUCUCCAAACUGAGAAGGCUGGUCUGGCUGCAAAGAAUCAUGAAGGCCUUGGCUGUCCCGCUUCUCCUCAUGUGGCUUUGGACCUUCAGCACAGGCCAGCGUUCUCCACUGAAUGGCUUCCAGAGGCUGAAAGCAACACAACUGAUGUAUUUAUCUCACCAGAGAGAGGAGCUGCCAAUGGGGGUAGAGGAGUGUGCCCGGCAAUGUGCUACGUGGCUUGACUGCAGGGCCUUUCAUUACAAUUGGCAGAGUCGGGGAUGCCAGCUACUGCCUUUGACCCAGCAUUCACCACAAACCCAUCUGCAAAGGAAUGUCCACUAUGACCUGUACCAGAAGAAAGGUUAUGUAAGGAAUUGCAUCAUGGGAGAUGGGAGCGAUUAUAGAGGGACCCAGUCAGUGACUGAAAAAGGAAAAACCUGCCAAGCAUGGCGACUGAAGUUUCCUCAUGAUCACAGGUUUCCUAUCUCACUGCGCAAUGGACUGGAAGAAAAUUACUGCAGGAAUCCAGAUCAAGAUAAGCAUGGUCCCUGGUGCUACACAACUGACCCUGCUGUCCGGCACCAAAGUUGUGGCAUCAAGAAAUGUGAAAAUGCUGUAUGCAUGUCUUGUAAUGGUGAGGACUACCGGGGCUUUGUGGAUCAGACUGAGACUGGCAUAGAGUGUCAGCGCUGGGAUCUGCAGCAUCCUCAUAAGCAUCCAUUCCUGCCAAACAAAUACCCCGAGAAAGACCUUGCUGACAAUUACUGCCGUAAUCCUGACAGUUCUGAGCGUCCUUGGUGUUACACCACAGAUCCUACCAAGGAGCGGGAAUAUUGCCACAUUCGGAAGUGCACAGAAAAACAUCGACAGCCAUCUACUACAACUAACUGCUUCAGGCUGAAAGGAGAAGACUAUCGAGGCCGGGUGAAUGUCACUACCUCAGGCAUCCCCUGCCAACGCUGGGACUCACAGACACCCCACCGCCAUCAUUUUGUGCCUGAGAAAUAUGAGUGCAACUGUGACUUCAGAUGGCGUCUCGCCUCUCAAUGACUGUCUCAAGUAAUGGAUUAGAUGAGAGGAAACAAAUUGAAGCUGAAUCCAGACAAAACAGAGGGACUUGAAGGAGAAUUACUGCCGGAAUCCCGAUGGCUCAGAGGCUCCCUGGUGCUUCACCACCCUGCCCAACAUGCGGAUGGCCUUUUGCUUCCAGAUCAAGCGUUGUGUUGAUGAUGUGGAAGAGGAAG